GAGCCACCUUCGGCGACUACGGAGACAUGUCGGAGCACAAGAGCCGCUUUCGCUGCGCGCUCUGUUCGCUGUCGGACGCGAGAGAGCUGAAGCAUCUACGCGCGCGUCGCAGUCCUGACCAGCACCGCGUCUACCAGUUCAUGAAGCGCGGCGAGCUGCAAUUCUCGAGCGUUGAGACAGCAGGCCAGACGCAAGAGUACUCGUCAACCGUGUCACCUGUACUAAGCGUUGAGAAGGAAACCCAAUGACUGAUACAACGCAGAGCACCCGCAGA